ACAACUUUCAACAACGGAUCUCUUGGCUCUCGCAUCGAUGAAGAACGCAGCGAAAUGCGAUAAGUAAUGUGAAUUGCAGAAUUCAGUGAAUCAUCGAAUCUUUGAACGCACCUUGCGCCCCUUGGUAUUCCGAGGGGCAUGCCUGUUUG
rnacentral:rRNA from 1 species